UGACACCCAAAUACAAGGUUUAUAUAGGUGGCAUUCAUGCCAUUUUAUAACAAACGGAAUGGUGAGGAUUGCAGCUGCCACAGCUACCGGGACCUUCCCACGCGGACUUUUGGUGCCACCUCCUCUGUUGUAUAAUUGGGGUUUAUACCAAUAAAUUUUUGAUACUCCCUGCAAUAACCGCUGACGAUGGUGGUGUACAUGGUCACAUCUAGCUCUCAGCCUCUGUCUUCCAAAUUCUUCAGCAAUCGAAGGACUUUCCCAGUAUUGCCGGUUCUGCACAAUCCCUCAUCAUGGCUUGGCACAUGGUUAUAUCUACCUCGAUUGUCUGGCCAACAUUUCAUCCGCCAAGCUCGUGGCUUCGGCGAUUCUACCCUCUCCAACAAUCCCAUUGAUCAAAGUGUUAAGCUGGCAGUUGUGGGUUGAAGUCCAAGUUUGACCAUUUUACACAAAACUGAGGACCCGAGAUCGGAUCUUUUUAAUUGGCGGAGGUAAUUCAUCAAAAUGUUGCCAGUAAAACUGUUGGGAGUCGUUCCUUUCGAACCCAUCCGCUUGAUCAUGUCAAUGGUGACGGGGUAAUGCUUCAUCUUGGCCCCAACCCCCAAGAGUUGGGCGAAACAGGGAGGUAAAG